rnacentral:rRNA from 1 species
AAAUUGAAGAGUUUGAUCAUGGCUCAGAUUGAACGCUGGCGGCAGGCCUAACACAUGCAAGUCGAACGGUAACAGGAAGCAGCUUGCUGCUURGCUGACGAGUGGCGGACGGGUGAGUAAUGUCUGGGAAACUGCCUGAUGGAGGGGGAUAACUACUGGAAACGGUGGCUAAUACCGCAUAACGUCGCAAGACCAAAGAGGGGGACCUUCGGGCCUCUUGCCAUCAGAUGUGCCCAGAUGGGAUUAGCUUGUUGGUGAGGUAACGGCUCACCAAGGCGACGAUCCCUAGCUGGUCUGAGAGGAUGACCAGCCACACUGGAACUGAGACACGGUCCAGACUCC